GGCGGNGCGCCUAACACAUGCAAGUCGAACGAGAAAGCAGGAGCAAUCUUGUGAGUAAAGUGGCGUACGGGUGAGUAACACGUGGAUUAUCUACCUCUUUGUGGGGGAUAACCCUGGGAAACCGGGGCUAAUACCGCAUAAGUCCGAGAGGAGAAAGCAGCAAUGCGCAGAGAGAGGAGUCCGCGGCCGAUUAGCUAGUUGGUAGGGUAAAAGCCUACCAAGGCUAAGAUCGGUAGCCGGCCUGAGAGGGCACACGGCCACACUGGCACUGAAACACGGGCCAGACUCCUACGGGAGGCAGCAGCGGGGAAUCUUGCACAAUGGGGGCAACCCUGAUGCAGCGACGCCGCGUGAGCGAUGAAGCCCUUCGGGGUGUAAAGCUCUUUCGGCAGGGAAGAUUAUGACGGUACCUGCAGAANCANCUGCGG
rnacentral:rRNA from 1 species